rnacentral:lncRNA from 1 species
UUGAAGCCAAACUAUAGGGAAAUUUAACAUUUCGUAACACCCAAGCAUCAUAAAACUGAAAUUUUGCAGAAAUUUUACGGAAAUUCACAAUGGGCCAUUAUAGGGUUUAGUUUAUCGGCCAUUAUAAAUAUCCAUAACAUCGUGAAGCUUAUACAAUACUCAUCAAUUCCAAAAAAAAAAAAAAUAUCUGUGUUAGUUAUCUCUUAGAAACAAGCUUUUCUACUAUUCAUCUCUCUCAUUUCAAACUUGAAAUUUAUAAGUUAUUGCUGAAUUGCACCAUGAGUUCUAAACAGCCAAGCACUCAGCAGGUUCUUUACCCAACUACAAGGCCAUCAUCGUCAUCAACUGCAACUGCCCCUAAACCCUCGGGAACUAAACCUCCAACCAUGGACAAGAUCUUCGGAAUUAGAAAAUAUCAGAUUUAAUUGCACUUUUGUUCUUCCAUUGACCACGAUUGUGCGGUUUUAAACCCCCAUAACAUCUAUAUAUUUUGGCGUCUAUAUAAGUGGGGAGUUAAAGUUCCACAAUCACACAUACUUUGGAGGAUUAAAAUUGCAACUAUCACAUAAUAUUUUUACAAGUUUGUUCAAUAGUAUCGUCAAGGAAAGUCUGUUUAGUCUAUGUUUUUAUUAAUUACAGCAUAUAUCUAUGUAACUUCCAUUAUUCAUUGAUUUUAAUUUGUUUCUGAAAUAUAUAUUCUUUUGUAUUUGAAGUUAUAAGAAGGUUUAUAGUCUAUUUGCUUUGUAAUAUUUUUAUUUCGAAAAAUUUAUGUGAAUUUUACUUAUUAAUAAUAUGGAGAUCGCAGACUCAAUCACAUCAGCUAUGCAUUCUCAUUUAGUGAGAGAUAAAUUCAGAAAAGAAUCAUCACAAAACCCUUAGAGAUGGAUAGAUCAAAUUUAAGGCCCUUUUGUACAAGAAAAGAAAAGUGCUUGUUUAUGACUUUUUGUAAAAAAAAAGAAAUAAUUUUAGUUUAGGAUUUUUUUUUUUUUAAAAAGUAAUCAAAAAAACAUCUAUCUUGACUCUAAAAUGAAACGCUAUUUGGAUUAGUUUUUUCAAACUCGGUUUUCAAUAAUAACUUCAGAAAUUUUAGGAUUUUUUUUUUUUGAACUGAAUGAAAUCAAUACAAAAAUGUUUAGAUUCAAAAUCGAAUGAAAUCGAUACAAAACGAUCCUUAAACCAUGGAAGACUCCUCUUAAUGACUUAUUAUUUGUCUUCAAACACGAAUAAAAGAACUCAAAACAUAGCCUAAAAUAUCAUCUUAUACUUCAUCAUCAAUAUCGUUGGACUCUGGUUUCCAUACAUCCAAGUGGUUCUUUCUCUUUUAAUUUUCAUCUAGGGUUAAUGUUCGAUUAUUGUAAGUUCAAUUUAAUAUUAGUCUUUUGAAUAUCCACAAGUUUUUUCUGUUAUAUACCUUAUGGAAAAAUUGGAAAUUACACCAACUCGUAACAUGUAAUAAUGUAGUAAGAUAUCAUCUUUAUAGUGAUUGUCGUAACAUAAUUUAUUAAAGUAAAAAUAGUAAAAGAGAUUAAUGGUAACAAGUUUAUUAAUUGUCCUACACAAUGGAAGAUUAAGUUGUUUGAUUCAAAUGUUUAAGGGAGAUUAAGAUUUCCUUGAAUCCCUUCGUCUACCUUCUUUCUUGGAAUUAACUUGGUUUUUUAUUAGCUUAUCACCUGCCUCUAUUUAAGAGAGUAGGACUUAGUCUUGUGAUGUAACGGCGGGAAGUUCAAGUAUUUGUGCUGCGACAAAGACUAUACUUGCGACGUUCCCCUAAAGAUGAAUCUAGCUUUAACAAUCAUAGUUAUAUUUAAUUUAAAAUAUGCAAUUUACUACUGUUCUUUUUUCGGUUUUGGUAGGAUCGUAAAGCUUAUACCUUACCUUAGAGAUCAGGUUAACCACUAGUUGCAAAUCAUUGAGAGUUAAAUAUAUACAAAUUGAUGAAGACAAUUGAAUCAUAAAUUCAAUAAAAACUUUAUUAGUUGAAUCCAUCAAAUAAAUAGAGGUUCAUCGUGGAUCCCAAUCAAGAGUGGUUUAGCUACCCAUGGUAACUGACAUCAUUAUCAAAUAAUAUAAAAAUAUAACCUAGAGAGAACAAGAGGAGGAGAAAACCCUAUGCCUUGAAAGUUUGAUUCUUGACCAUUGUCUUGUACCCCUAGGUUUCUAAAUGAAUAAAGUGUGUGCAAGGGUCUCGAUUUAUAGUUCAUCAUUACUUAGGGUUUAAGAGAUGAAAACUAUGCUUUUUCCUCUAAUCCAGCUUGGAAAACAAACAAAAUCAGCAUUUCCCCCUCAAUUGUGAGUAGGGGCACAUGGAUAGACACAUAGGUGCACAUGAAGCAGCCUUCUGGUCUGUCCCAUUCGGAUGGACGCAUGGAUCAUGUGCGUGAGUGCGCGAGGCAUAAGCCACAAUGCAAAUUUUGCAGUUUUUGUCCCUUUUUUUAGUGUUUUUUUCGACUUGAAAUGUAUAGGAACUUGGGCUGAAUUUUGUUCAUAUCCUUUGUCUUUAGAAAACUUUUAAGAACCAUUUAUCUUUAUUCUUCAUAUCCUUGAUCCUUCAUGUGAUGUCUUGUUUUGCUAAUUUACACGAUUUCUCACUAAAAAAACUCAAAACACCUUGCAUGAUUUAGGAUAAAAAUGAAUACAACGACUCAAAAGAAAACAAUACAAAAUGAUCCUUAAAGCAUAGACAACUCCUUUAAAUGACCUAUUAUUUGUCUUCAAACACAAAGGAAAUAAUUUGAAACAUAAUAUAAAUACAUAUGAAGCUAUGUCAUCAAUAUCAUUGGACCUAGGUUUAGUAAUAAAGUGUAAGUAGAGUAUCAUAUCCAUCGAGAUUGUCAUUCCAACUAGGCAAUUCAUGUUACUUAUUUGGAAACUAUUAAAUAAAAAAAAAAAUAUAUAAAGGGUAAAAGGGUUUUGCAGUUUGAUCUGUUUGCAACAAAGCAAGGUUUACUUGUUUAGAUUGGAGAAUGUUAGUGGCAGUUAGGAUUACUUGCAAUUUGAAUCGCCUCUAAUUAUUUUUUGGAAUACUUAAUCGUAAAAUCUUAUUCAACCUUUAGCUUUUUCUAUCGAAGUGAUGAGUUCGUGGGGUUUUACUACCUACUAGAUGUCAACUUGCACCUGCUGAUCACACAGGUAGGUACGUGUGGUUCUUACUCUCUCAAUGGUAUGAGUUCAUUACCCUCUAGCCUCCGAAGAUAGAAACUCCUCCGAAGGUCUAGAUAAAAACAUACCCUGUCAUCUAGGGCUUACGGUUUAGGUAUAUGAUUUAGAGUUCAGGGUAUAAGGUUUAGAGUUUAAAGUUUAAAGUUUUGUUAUAAUAUGUCAUCUAGGGUUAGGGUUUAGGGUUUUAUGGUUUCGUUAUUAUGUCAUCUAAGGUCAAGGUAGAAUGUUUAUGGUUCAUGGUUUAGGGUUAAGGGUUUAUGGAUAGGAUAUCAUCUAGGGUUGGGUUUAGAGUUUAGGGUUGAGGGUUUAAGAUUGUAGGGUUAGAGUUUAGGCUUUUAGGGUUUAGGGAGACUCAUGCAAGUUGAAUUUUUGGCACCCCUUCAUUGAUCGUAUUAAAGUAGGAUGUUGGGAUGGAUGCAUCAUAACAUAUCCAUGGGGGUUGGUUUGCUUCACCUGAAGUAUGUCUUGUCCUCUCUAUCAGUCUAGCUACUUUCUUUUUUUCUUCAAGAUUGCCACAUAUAUCAUUUCCUCUCUUGAAUCUAUUUUUAAUUUUUUUCCUUAGUAUUUUCGAAAAACUACUUUUAUUAAAUGUGAAAUUAUAUGCUUGAAUAAGGAUAAUGGUGGAUUGUGGGUGAAGAGGAUAAGAAAUUUUAAUUUGGUAAAUUAUGUUGGAGGGCUUGCGAUUAACGUGAAAACUUGUGGUAUAAGUUGCUAGUUUAUUUCCCGUUAUGGUGAGGAGAAGGGGGCAGUUAUGUUAUCAAGUGGGAGUAGGUUCACUUUGGUGGAAAAAGUACAAUAUGAUUCGAUAAUUAAGGUGAUAUAUUGGGGGUGGGGACUUGGUUUAAGGAUAACAUAGGGCGUUAAGUGGGUGAUGGAUCCUCAAUGUUGUUCUUGAGGGAUCCUUGGUUGGAAGGAGGUCCGUUAAAUGUGAAGUUUAGAAGGUUGUUUAUUUAUAUGAACAAAAAUAGUGAUGCAUGGUUACAGAGAUGUAUUCCUUAUAACUGGGGAGUUGACGGAGAGGCGUGAAAGUUGCGUAGGAUGUUGUUGGUUUGGGAGGAUGAUCAGGUGAGGGAGUGUAGUGAGCUGUUAAAUUCUAUUAUUUUAUAGGAUGGUAAGAGGCUUAGAUUGUUACAGUAAAUACUUCACUUUAGUUGCUUAUGUGGUUUCUGCAAGCAAGCUCAUUUGGCUCUCAUGUGUACGGGUCAUUUGGAAUGAAAUAAACAUGCAUGUUUUUCAACACAAGGAGGAAAAUUUGCAAACUUUAUCCGACAAAAUAAAGCUUAAGUCUUUCUAGAAGUGAAAGCGAGACACGAAACUUUUGUUUUCGACUAUCACAACUGGUGGCUUAAUCCUCUUUAGUGUUUGUCUAUAGUUUCGUAGCUUGCUUCUUUUCCAUUUGCUUUUCGUUUUGUAUUAUAACAUUGAAAACUUUCUUUAAGCCUAGUUCUGGAAGAGCUUGCACCGGAAGGACUUAUUUGGGUGAUUAAUAUAUUCCAUUUUGUCCUCUUAAAAUAAUAAUAAUAAUAAUAAUAAUAAUAAUAGAAUAGCUUUUUUUUAAUGGCAAAAUAUAAUAUUAUUAAUAAAAAAUCAAGUCAAAUGUACAAACGAUUAGGAUUCACAGAAAAACCCCAAGCUCGAAAUCGAAAAAAGAAAAGACAUCACCCCACAAACAUCAAAGAAAAGAUAAGACACCCACACAUAGCUAGCUGCAACAUACAUAGGUUCCUGGAAAAUAUAUAUGAAGGUGUACAAUUUUUUAUAAUCUUUGACGGUUUCUCUCAUUCUUGUAAUUCAACUCAGAAACCAGGUUUUAGUUAUUACGCGGUUAUACCUUAUACAUCUAGUUGUUACCCAAGAAAUAUCCUUCACCCCAUCGCACGCUACCUAUAUCUGUUUAUUUUUGAACGGUCCAUAAACCAGAGUUAGUGAUAUCAAAAUAUGAAACAGAAAAUCUUUACCAUUUAUACAUUUGCAAUUUUUCAUAGCUUUUACUUCGAAACUACCUAUAUAGAUAUAGCAAGCUUGAGAACUUUGACUAUUCUCGUUUCAUAAAAUUAUAACCAACCUAAAACUUGUAUUAAUUUGUGAUUAUUCUAGGUUUGGAUACUGUUUUGUUUUUCAGUGGUUGUUUCGUGAAGGAAUUUGUUUUAGGUGGUGCUGUUAGGAGGUUUUGAUUUGUGGUUAUGGUGUACCGUCUAUAUGCGGCAGGCCCGGCCUUGAGAGAGUGCAAGGUGCUCAAUCAAGCCGGGCCUCCAAAAGUUAUGGGCCUCAGAAAAAUUAACUCUAAUACCCACCCCCACUUAAAUAAAAAAUAUAUAUGUUACUUCUUUACACGUUUGAGUUUUUUCUAGACUUUAGUUCACUUAUCCGGACAUAAAUCUGGUACUAUCAAACUACCCCCAAUUUGUAUAAUCACUUAAUCAGUCAAUUUGAAAAGCUAUUUUAUUGAAAGAAUCACAACAAUAAUUUUUUUUUUCACACAAACCAUUCGUUUUCCCCUUUCCCACAACGGACAAGUGACAAAUCCAAACGACGCUGUUAGUAAAUUCUAUCUCUCUUUCACUUAAUUUUUUUGUUUUUCGUUUCAUGUUCAGAAGCUCUUCUUAUUUUGAUUUUUUAAUAAAGCUUAGCUACACAAAAAGAAUUGUGUUUUUAUUUUAUUGAAGACCUAUUUUAAAUAGAGAGCCGAGCCUCCUAUUUCAUAGGGACGGCUCUGAUAUGCGGCACCAUUUGUAUCUUGUUUCGUCCAUAUCAUGCGUCUUGCGGGGAUGACGUUUAAUAUUAUUUGCCGAUAUAAAAAAAGAAAACUAUUAAUUGAAGAAUUUUGUUUAGGUGACAAGACAAUACAAAAGAGGCUUGGAAUCCCUGCAGAUUUGUAGGUUUGUAAACCUCCGCUAACUAGUCAAAUAUAAGCGUGAAGAAAAUUCCAUCCACCACUUUGUGGAGGUUUUGAACGGCUGAAAACUAAAACCGUCGUAUAAUUGUUCAAAAUCUCACAAAUAAUACCAACCUUUAGGAUGAUAGUUCACAGAACCAUUGCAAAGAUGGUUCGCGAAUCUUGCCUUUUAGUAUGCUGAAAGAUAUUCAAAUAAUACAUUAACUGAAUGAUCUAACAAAUAUUAUUGAAUAAAUAUUGAAAUGCACACUUUGAUCAAUACAUUGAGUCUUAUUUAUACACCUAUAGGCUAUAACUAUAACAUAAGCUGGAUUAAUAUCACAAUUCAACUAUUACAAACAAACAGUAAAUCUUUAACAAACAAUACAUUACGUAAAUAUGUUUUGUAAAUAUGUUGCAGUAAACUUUCUUCCAUCUGUAAUUUUCACAAGUAAAAUAUAUCCUGCAAAGUUUAUGAAACGAUCAACGAUGAAUGUCUCGAUGCAAAAUAUAAAGGAUAAAUAAAUAAAUAAAAAGGCACAUUUUAAAUUAUUUGAGAAUCUAUUAAAAAAAAAUUCAAACUAAAAUGUUAUGUUCAGUUGAGUCUUUCAAUUUUUUUCAAUAAAAGUUGAAUUUUUAUUAGGUAAUUUAUCUUAGAAAAAUAAAAAUAAAUUAUAACUGCUUGUUGAACAUAUAAUUACUUUUUAAUUUUUUGUUUAAACCAAUCAAAUUUAGGCCAUUUGUUUAAUAUUAUUUUUUAUCUUUUAGUUAUAUUUAUGUGUAUGUUUUUUUUUAACUAAUAUGUUUAAAAAUAGAUUUUAUCCUAAACACUAUUUUAGAGCCCGUUUGUUAUAGAUUAAAAUAAAAGUGAUUUUGACAUUAAAUAAUUUAGAGAUUAUUUUUUAGAGAUUUUAUGAAAAAUCAGAAUCUAUUUUGAGUUUGUUUACUGUAAUGAAAAUCUACUUUUUUUAAACAAAUAAUUUGGUUUGUUUGGAUACAACUAUAUAAAAGUGAUUUUUUGUUACAAAAUUAGUUCAAUACUUAAAACCAUAUUUUCUCUUUCCUCUAAAAAAAAUGUAUUUUUUGAGAAGUUGCUCUUAACAGCUUCUCAUUCGAAGCGGAUUUUAGAUUUUUUUUAGAUUCAGACUUUUUUAAAAAGUUGUAACUAACGGAUAUAAAACUCUUAAAAGUGAUUAUUUUUUUUUUAAAAAUGAUUUUUUUACUUAAAAAAACUAUAACAAAUGGGCUCUUAAUUAAGUUUUGAAGAAAUGUAAGGAGAAAUGUGAUUUGUUAGUAGAACACGAAUCGAAACUUAUACGUUGCUACUUUCUUCGCAGACUCAUUUUCAAAAAUAAAUUUGUAAGAAUUUUAUGUUCAACCUUUUAUUUAAUGAAAUAACUAAAACAUCCGGAAAAAAGGUAAACUUUACUGCACAAAUGUUAUUAGUCUUGCAUCAUGCAUAAGAAUUAGUUUAUAUUAUUGGAUUAAUAAAUCCUACCAUUGGAUCAAGGAGAUAUAAUGAGAUUUAUUAAUUCAACAAUGAAAAUAUUUGUGUAUGAUGCAAAACUAUUUUACUUUUACACGUUAGACAAAACCUCAAAAUAUAAACAUGAGAGAAAAAUCGAACACAUUUGUAGUGUUUUAUACCUGUUAGCCAUAAGACUAUUUUUUCUUAGGAAGAGGAGGCGAAUAGCCUUUCUGGUUUGAGAGUGGGUUUUUCUUAGGAUCCUUCGGCUUCGUAUUUUCAAGAGGACGAACAGAAUGGCUCAUAUCCAUUUCAAGCACAUUUUCCUGAGCAGCUCUCGAAUUCGUAGCAUGUGCAGGAGGAUGACCAGAGUGGCCCAUAUCACUCUUCAACACAUUUUUUUUUUCCUUACCCAUUUUAGAUGAUAAUGUAUUAUGUUUCUGUCUUUCUUUGGAGAUAUGUGAUUUAUGGCCUGGUAUUUAUAAACCCUUCAUUGUAGUUGAGGUUUGGAAGCCAUAGCUGAGUAAAAAUGAUGUAAAUUAGGGUUAAAUUGCAUUGUUUCCGUUCAUUUAAUCAUAUAUUUAGUUUUUAGUACAAUUUAUUUAGAAAAUGCUUUCGAAAUUAUCAGCUCUAUUCAUAAGGAAUUUCUCUGCUUUGUUUUAAUUUUCUUAUCGAUUACAAGUUAGUCAUUUUGAAAUUUUCAAAUAUUAGAAGUAAGAAAAUAGCAAUAGAUCAUUAGAGAGAUUUUGUAGGUAAGAAGUAUGAAAAAAGAUUGGAAACGAAUAGCCAAUUUCGAUACACUAUCUAUCGAUUUUCAUUUAUUUUUUUAUAUUUUGAUAUGAAAGAGACAAAAAUAUAAAAGAAUGAUGUUUAUAUUCUUUUUUUUUGUUUACAUUCUUUUAUUAUCGAGAUAUGCUAGACUAGUUUGUUGAGAGAGAAAUAAUUUGUUAGUAGAGAUAUAAUAUUGGACUUGAUAUAUUGUAAAUGCAGGUUAGUUGAUAGUUUUUUGGACAUUAAAAUACAAAGGUCAUGGUUUAAACUUAGUAUUUUCUACUUCUCCAUUCUCCAUACUUAUAAUGUGUAAGUCUGGUAACUAGACUAACAUUCAAAUCUCUACCCACUUAGACUAAUUCAAUGUUGUUUUUUAAGAAGUUAUUUCCAAGUUUAAUAGAUAUGCUUUGCCAAUGUAAAUUAAUUUUACAAUAACAUCCAAUUCAGCUAUUUCCCAUUAAAAAAAAAAAAAACAAGAAUCAGCUAUUUCCCAUUAAAAAAAAAAAACAAAAAUCAGCUAUUUGUCCAUGUCAUUUCUUUAAAGUUGGAUGUAGGGGAUGAUUUGGGGGAAUAAAAGGUUUUUAGUUGAAUGACGAUGUACGAUUAUUUUACAAUUGACGGUUUGUAUCUUAUUAUUAAAAAUUGUGGUUAGGCCUACCACAAAACCGGCUUGUGAGUUGAGGAUCUCUUAUAAAUACGUUGUUAAGUCAUCUUUUGCCUGAUAUGGUGUGUUGAAAAGUCUCAUAUCGAACAAAAGAUUGUCUAACAUGUGUUUAUAGGUGGAGCCAAUCAUCACCUCACAAGACAGUUUUGUGGGGUUGUGUUAGACUCAACCAUAAUUUUUAAGAUAGUUUCAGAACCUCUCCAAGGUCAAUUAGAUCAACUGCUAUCAGAUUUUCGCUAUCGGGUCACACAUCAUUUAUGUCCACGAACCAAGCUUAUAAGUAAGGAUAGUCCUCACUUUAUAAACCGGUUGUGUUAGAUCCAACCACAAUUUCUAAAACCUGAUUUCAUUUUAUUUCCAUAAUUUAUUUUUAAAUUUGAGCAAAAUUACACUUUUAAUCCCUUAACGUAAUUUCAGGUACCAGUUUGAUCCUUUAUCUUUUUUUCAUUUCAAUUUGGUCCUUUUUGUCCAUUUUCAUAUGAAUUUUUAAGCUUAAAAUUCAUAAUUUAAUUUUCUUAUGGUCUUUUAAUCUUCAAAUCUAUGAUCCUCGUCUAUGUUUGCAUAAAAAUAUUAGAUUUGAAACUUGAAAAUGUAUAUAAAAAUGGAUAAAAAGGACCAAAUUGAAAUGAAAAAAAGAUAAAUGACUAAACUGUUACCUGAAAUUAAGUUAAGGGACUAAAAGUGUAAUUUUGCAUUAAAUUUACUAGAUAAUCUAUGAAGUUAAUUUCGUUUUUUUGAUUUCAGCGGCGUGUAACAAAAUAUGGUCAAGUUUUUUGACAAAAAAAAAGGGUUAACAAUUUGAAAGUUGGUCAUAAAUUUGCAUAUACAUACCGGUAAAGCGUGUAGAAACCGCGUUGUGAAAUUCAUGUUACGUUCUUCUUUUAUUUUUAAAAACUCAAUUUCAUGUAAUAUACAGAUAACCAACCACCUCAUUUCAAAACAUUGACAGUUUCUCAUUUUAAUUUUUGAAGCCAAACUAUAGGGAAAUUUAACAUUUCGUAACACCCAAGCAUCUUCUGAAAAAUAAUAAAACUUAAAUUUUGCAGAAAUUUUACGGAAAUUCACAAUAGGCAAUGGCUUUCUUCUUUGAAUCGCCUAUAAAUAUCCAUAACAUUGUGAAUCUUAUUCAAUACUCAUCAAUUCCAAAAAAAAGAAGAAUAUUUGUGUUAAUUUUCUCUCAGAAACAAGCUUUUUUACUAUUCAUCUCUCAUUCCAAACUUGAAAUUUAGAAGUUAUUGCUGAAUUGCACCAUGAGUUCUAAACAGCCAAGCAUUCAGCAGGUUCUUUACCCAACUACAAGGCCAUCUUCGUCAUCAACAGCAACUGCCCCUAAACCCUCGGGGACUAAACGUCCAACCAUGGACAAGAUCUUUGGAAUUAGAAAUUAGAAAAUAUCAGAUUUAAUUGCACUUUUGAUCUUUCAAUGAUCGUGAUUGUGCGAUUUUAACCCCCCGUAAUAUUUAGAGAUUUUGGCAUCUAUAUAUAUAAGUGGGGAGUUAAAGUUCCACAAUCACAAUACUUUGGAGGAUUAAAAUUGCAACUAUCACAUGAUAUCUUUACAAGUUUGUUUAAUAGUAUCGUCAAAUAAAGAAAGUCUGUGUAGUCCAAGUUUUUACUAAUUACAGCAUGUAUCUAUGUAACUUCCAUUAUUCAUUGAUUUCAAUUUAUUUAUGAAAUAUAUAUUCUUUUGUAUUUGAAGUUAUAAGAAAGGUUAUAGUCUAUAAUUGCUUUGUAAUAUAUUUAUUUUUAUUUCGUAAAAUUUAUGUCAGUUUUACUUAUUAAUAAUGAGGAGAAAGCAG